rnacentral:rRNA from 1 species
ACCAUAGCAAGUCGAACGGUGAAGCAGAGCUUGCUCUGUGGAUCAGUGGCGAACGGGUGAGUAACACGUGAGCAACCUGCCCCUGACUCUGGGAUAAGCGCUGGAAACGGCGUCUAAUACUGGAUAUGAGCUGCGACCGCAUGGUCAGCAGUUGGAAAGAUUUUUCGGUCUGGGAUGGGCUCACGGCCUAUCAGCUUGUUGGUGAGGUAAUGGCUCACCAAGGCGUCGACGGGUAGCCGGCCUGAGAGGGUGACCGGCCACACUGGGACUGAGACACGGCCCAGACUCCUACGGGAGGCAGCAGUGGGGAAUAUUGCACAAUGGGCGAAAGCCUGAUGCAGCAACGCCGCGUGAGGGAUGACGGCCUUCGGGUUGUAAACCUCUUUUAGCAGGGAAGAAGCGAAAGUGACGGUACCUGCAGAAAAAGCGCCGGCUAACUACGUGCCAGCAGCCGCGGUAAUACGUAGGGCGCAAGCGUUAUCCGGAAUUAUUGGGCGUAAAGAGCUCGUAGGCGGUUUGUCGCGUCUGCUGUGAAAUCCCGAGGCUCAACCUCGGGUCUGCAGUGGGUACGGGCAGACUAGAGUGCGGUAGGGGAGAUUGGAAUUCCUGGUGUAGCGGUGGAAUGCGCAGAUAUCAGGAGGAACACCGAUGGCGAAGGCAGAUCUCUGGGCCGUUACUGACGCUGAGGAGCGAAAGGGUGGRGAGCAAACAGGCUUAKAUACCCUGGUAGUCCACCSCGUAAACGUUGGGAACUAGUUGUGGRGUCCAUUCCACGGAUUCCGUGACGCAGCUAACGCAUUAAGUUCCCCGCCUGGGGAGUACGGCCGCAAGGCUAAAACUCAAAGGAAUUGACGGGGACCCGCACAAGCGGCGGAGCAUGCGGAUUAAUUCGAUGCAACGCGAAGAACCUUACCAAGGCUUGACAUAUACGAGAACGGGCCAGAAAUGGUCAACUCUUUGGACACUCGUAAACAGGUGGUGCAUGGUUGUCGUCAGCUCGUGUCGUGAGAUGUUGGGUUAAGUCCCGCAACGAGCGCAACCCUCGUUCUAUGUUGCCAGCACGUAAUGGUGGGAACUCAUGGGAUACUGCCGGGGUCAACUCGGAGGAAGGUGGGGAUGACGUCAAAUCAUCAUGCCCCUUAUGUCUUGGGCUUCACGCAUGCUACAAUGGCCGGUACAAAGGGCUGCAAUACCGUGAGGUGGAGCGAAUCCCAAAAAGCCGGUCCCAGUUCGGAUUGAGGUCUGCAACUCGACCUCAUGAAGUCGGAGUCGCUAGUAAUCGCAGAUCAGCAACGCUGCGGUGAAUACGUUCCCGGGUCUUGUACACACCGCCCGUCAAGUCAUGAAAGUCGGUAACACCUGAAGCCGGUGGCCCAACCCUUGUGGAGGUAGCCGU